ACAGGUUCCAGUAACCCCUUUAGAGGAUGACUGAUUUCUUUUGGUGUUCAGAGUCAAUACUAUUUUCUAGCACCAUUUGAAAUCGGUUAUAGUGACAGGGGAAUUGCAUCCUGUGA
rnacentral:miRNA from 1 species